rnacentral:rRNA from 1 species
ACGGGAGGCAGCAGUGGGGAAUAUUGGGCAAUGGGGGAAACCCUGACCCAGCAACGCCGCGUGAAGGAAGAAGGCUUUCGGGUUGUAAACUUCUUUUACCAGGGACGAAGGACGUGACGGUACCUGGAGAAAAAGCCACGGCUAACUACGUGCCAGCAGCCGCGGUAAUACGUAGGUGGCAAGCGUUGUCCGGAUUUACUGGGUGUAAAGGGUGCGUAGGCGGCAUGGUAAGUCAGUCGUUAAAGACCAGAGCUUAACUCUGGACCAGCGAUUGAAACUAUCAAGCUAGAGUACAGGAGAGGUUAGUGGAAUUACUAGUGUAGAGGUGGAAUUCAUAGAUAUUAGUAAGAACACCAAUGGCGAAGGCAGCUAACUGGCCUGAAACUGACGCUGAGGCACGAAAGUGUGGGGAGCAAACAGGAUUAGAUACCCUGGUA